GCGUUCCCCACUGGAGAGAAGCCUGCCCUGCCAAGGGCCGGCUCACCGAAGGAGCAAACCCACAUCGCUGGGCGAAUCUCUCAGGUAAAGCGGACAGCGGGGGCAGC
rnacentral:ncRNA from 2 species